UACUUUGACUCCAGUUUGUACUUCCUGUCUACUGAGAAGAAAACCUGGGAGAAGAGCAGACAGGACUGUCAGGGGAGAAGAGCAGACCUGGUGAUCAUAAACAGCAGAGAGGAACAGAUAUUUCUCUUCAACCUCCACCUGAGAGCCUGGAUUGGUCUGACUGACUCUGUUACUGAGGGGACCUGGAAGUGGGUGGACGGCACCCCACUGACCACAGGGUACUGGGGGACAGGACAGUCUGAUAAUGGUGGUCUG